rnacentral:rRNA from 1 species
AUCUUAGGUGAUCAGCCGUGCUUCUGUGCGGUGCACUUGCCUUUGAUUGGGCCAGCAUCGGUUCUGGAGGCGGGAUAAAGACUUGAGGAAUGUGGCUCUCUUCGGGGAGUGUUAUAGCCUCAGGUGCAAUGCCGCCAUUCGGGACCGAGGACCGCGCUUCGGCUAGGAUGCUGGCGUAAUGGUCUUAAGCGACCCGUCUUGAAACACGGACCAAGGAGUCA